GUAAUUUGAAAAUGAAAGCAGUGGAUUCUUUACCACACCACACUGCCAAAGAAGCCCACAAAUGCCCCCAGAACCCCACAAAAGCCACUGCCUUUCCCUGAUUAAACGUAGCCUAACAUCCAUCACGCUGGCUGAUGCCUCAGAAGGCUCACCCUCCCAGCCAGAUGUAUAGUGGAGCCUGAAAGCCUGAAUCCACUGCUCCAGGGCCCUGGGGGGGCAUACAUGGCUGAGUUGUAUGGGGAGGCCCUGAAGCCCGCGAUGGUGGGUAUGGACCCUUGACCUUCAUGCUCUGGGACUUCGGUCGUCCCGGGCACCUUCCCCUAGGGAUCAGACACUGACACAGAGGGAAACAGGCCUCUGCCUGCCGGUUCCAAGGGUACUGCUCCUCAGUCAGCAUAAAGAUGCAUCAUUUUUAAAACGUCUUCAUGGUUCAGAAGAAACAGAGAGGAACAGAGGGCUGUCGCUUCAUGGGUACAGGUUCUGACGUUAUGGGACACGUCAGGAAAUGGAUGGUGAUGAUGCUGUGCCUCUACGUGAAUGUCCUUCGUGCCACUGAACUGUACCCUCCAAAGGGGGCAAAGUGGUAGAUUUCAUGUUUUGUAUGUUUCACCACGGUUUUAAAAAUACAUUCAAAUACAAAUAAAAAAGUAAAGGGUGCUUAAAAGAGGUAAA
rnacentral:lncRNA from 1 species